GACGAACGCUGGCGGCGUGCUUAACACAUGCAAGUCGAACGGAAAGGCCUUUUCGGAGGUACUCGAGUGGCGAACGGGUGAGUAACACGUGGGUGAUCUUCCCUGCACUCUGGGAUAAGCCUGGGAAACUGGGUCUAAUACCGGAUAGGACCGCACUUUAGUGUGUGUGGUGGAAAGUUUUUUCGGUGUAGGGUGAGUCCGCGGCCUAUCAGCUUGUUGGUGGGGUAAUGGCCUACCAAGGCGGCGACGGGUAGCCGGACUGAGAGGUUGGUCGGCCACAUUGAGACUGAGAUGCGGCCCAGACUCCUACGGGGGGCAGCAGUGGGGAAGAUUGCACAAUGGACGCAAGCCUGAUGCAGCGGCGCCGCGUGGGGGAUGACGGCCUUCGGGUUGUAAACUCCUUUCGCCAGGGACGAAGCGUUUUGUGACGGUACCUGGAGAAGAAGCACCGGCUAACUACGUG
rnacentral:rRNA from 1 species